AUGUGCCACCGAGCUCGUGCUGCUGGUGCCGGCUUUGGCCGCGUUUCCGUGCUCGGCAUCAUCGUCGCGGCUCUCUGUCCAGCAAAUGGAGGAGCACUUCGGGCGGAACGGUCGCCUCAUGUAUUUCCGCCUGGACCGCUCCAUGUUCCUGAUCUGGAACUCGUGCUUCUGUACUCGGGCUGCCAUGGCCAUGGUCGUGCCCUGCAGCUCGAGGAAGCCGGCUCCUCUGCAGGAAUCACCUGUCGUCUGCAGGCGACCACUUUUGCGCCACGAUGGCAUCCAAGCCUAGUUGGCCUGUGGAGCAGCACCCCUGGGGCUAACCGUUGGCCAUGCCCUGCAACUGAAAGAACCGUCUUUAGACCUUUAAUCUUCGGUGCUCAAGCUUAG
rnacentral:rRNA from 1 species